UACGAAGGGGGCAAGCGUUGUUCGGAUUUACUGGGCGUAAAGGGCGCGUAGGCGGAACGACAAGUCAGAGGUGAAAGCCCUGGGCUCAAGCCGGGAAAUGCCUUUGGGACUGCCGUUCUAGAGUUCGGAAGAGGAUGGCGGAAUACCCAGUGUAGAGGUGAAAUUCGUAGAUAUUGGGUAGAACACCGGUGGCGAAGGCUGCCAUCUGGUCCGACACUGACGCUGAGGCGCGUUAGCGUGGGGAGCAAACAGG
rnacentral:rRNA from 1 species